UACGUAGGGUGCGAGCGUUGUCCGGAAUUAUUGGGCGUAAAGAGCUUGUAGGCGGUUUGUCGCGUCUGCUGUGAAAUCUCAAGGCUCAACCUUGAGCUUGCAGUGGGUACGGGCAGACUAGAGUGUGGUAGGGGAGACUGGAAUUCCUGGUGUAGCGGUGAAAUGCGCAGAUAUCAGGAGGAACCCCGAUGGCGAAGGCAGGUCUCUGGGCCGCUACUGACGCUGAGAAGCGAAAGCAUGGGGAGCGAACAGG
rnacentral:rRNA from 1 species